AAAAAGGGCUUCAACAACGUCAGUGUUUCGGACGGCGACCUUAAAUGGGAGUUGUCCGCGGAAUCUAAAUCAAGAGAUUUCGGAAGCACAAUUUUUGCUACUGGGAAAACUGGUAACCGAUUGUUCCGGUGUCCCG